UAAAACUGGACGAAUUUACAAAAUAAAUUGGGUUAGGGUUUCAGAUUUUCAUUUAUUCAUGGAGUUCGGGAAGGAUUCAAGGGAUUUGGUUCGUUGAUUCACGAAGAGUAAGAGGAAAGGAAGAGAUUGACGUUGGUUUGAGGGUGUUUGGCCACUGGAGGACGGCAUCGCCGUCGUAGGGAUGGGCAGCGGCGGUGGAGGAAGAAGAAGAGAGAAGAAGGGGUCUCUAGGG
rnacentral:lncRNA from 1 species